rnacentral:tRNA from 1 species
CAUGCUAGAGUUUUGAGAAUACAGGCUUUGGGGGCUUGAGGGUACAGUAGUGUGA